UUUUUUUUAAAUCUGGGAACAUAUCUAGGAUGAAGACCUCCAGAAGACUACAGCAGCUCCCUCUCCAGUGAAGACAGCAACCCAGCAGAAGAACGAAGAACAACAGACUCAGGAAGAAGACCUCCAGAAGACUACAGCAGCUCACUCUCCAGUGAAGACAGCAACCCAGCAGAAGAAUGAAGAACAACAGACUCAGGAAGAAGACCUCCAGAAGAUUUUUUUU